AGCGGAAGCUUGACAGGGUUAUUCUGAGUGAUUUCCGCUAAGGAAGUCUUUUGGCACCUCUAAAAAUGGUGCAGAAUAAGGGGUGGGCAAGUCUGGUGUCAGCCGCCGCGGUAAUACCAGCACCCCGAGUGGUCGGGACGAUUAUUGGGCCUAAAGCAUCCGUAGCCGGUUCUGCAAGUCUUCCGUUAAAUCCACCCGCUUAACGGAUGGGCCGCGGAGGAUACUAUAGAGCUAGGAGGCGGGAGAGGCAAGCGGUACUUAAUGGGUAGGGGUAAAAUCCGUUGAUCCAUUGAAGACCACCAGUGGCGAAGGCGGCUUGCCAGAACGCGCUCGACGGUGAGGGAUGAAAGCUGGGGGAGCAAACCGGAUUAGAUACCCGGGUAGCCCCACCUGUAAACGAUGCAGACUCGGUGAUGAAUGGGCUUCGGCCCUAUCCGGUGCCGCAGAGAAGCCGUUAAGUCUCCCGCCUGGGAGGUACGGUCGUAAGACUGAAACUUAA
rnacentral:rRNA from 1 species